AUUUUUGAUUUCUCGUAACACGUUAUAGCCGAGGCUGAAGGAAUUUCUAUUAACACAGCUAACUUUAAAGCCCUGAUUGGAGAUGGAUUUAUAGGAAAUGUUCCAGUCAUGCUUGCCAAACCACAAACUUUAAUGAAUGCAAGUGUUCUGAUAGCCAUUUUCAUGGUUUUGCAAAUACAUUGUGAAGGUCGGGGCCCUUGUCUCAUAUUACAAGAUUCCAUUGAAGCAAGUACUUGUGAUUUUUGAUGACUUAGAUUUGCCUUUUGCCAAACUGAGACUACUUCCGAAAGGCGGACAUAGAGGAUAUAAUGGGAUGCGAAGCAUCAUAGAUAGUUUAAAAGGCAGUCGCAAUUUCACUCGUCUAAGAAUCGGUAGGUUGCUAAGAACACUAAAACGAAACCUUAAUGCCUGCUAAUUUGUGUAUUUCCAGGUUAUUAAAGUUCAGUAACUUUUCUAGGCAUCGGACGGCCUCAGGGGAUGAUGGAUACUAUUAAUUACGUUCUUCUUCCUUUCGAUAAGC